UACGGAGGGUGCUAACGUUGCUCGGAAUCAUUGGGCGUAAAGCGCACGUAGGCGGCCGCGCAAGUUGGAUGUGAAAGCCCUGGGCUCAACCCAGGAAGUGCAUCCAAAACUGCGCGGCUCGAGUGCCGAAGGGGGCCAGAGAAUUCCCGGUGUAGAGGUGAAAUUCGUAGAUAUCGGGAGGAAUACCAGUGGCGAAGGCGCUGGCCUGGUCGGAAACUGACGCUGAGGUGCGACAGCGUGGGGAGCAAACAGG
rnacentral:rRNA from 1 species